AUUAGCGACGAUUUUGUCGCUAUAAACAAAAAGUGAAUUAAAGAGGUUAAAUUCACAGUUAAAAGGGAUGGUAGGCCGAAUGAUAUCAUACUGGAUAUGUUAGGCAUGUGAUGUGUAUUGUUAUAGGAAAUAAUUCAAGUGGACACAAACUCCGACGCCGGAAAGAAACAAUAAAACACAUGUCGCAGGGUGUCCCAAAAAAUGCACAGUAGCAAAGAAGAAAUCAGUGAAAUGGAAGAUGAGAGCAAAGUCGAAGAGAUUGCAUCACAUUUACAAGAUGGCAGAAUAGUUAAACUUAGCAAAUCUUUUCUCAUGAAGAUAAAAAAUUGUUCCGACCUAACGAACAAGGGUGGUGGUUUCGGUAAAAUAUAUAUUUCUCGCAUUCCUAUUCCUGGAUUUAAACACAAACUUGUCCUAAAGGAAAUUGGAGGAGGUAAUGAGAAUUCAAAAUCUCAAACGCAACUUUUUGGGUCCGUUAAAAAUGAGAAGCUGGCAUCACGCUUGAGACACUUUGCUAUCGUUCCACUGUUGGCAUACCACGAUGAUCUGUCGAUAGGGAAAGAUUAUGCAAACGGAAACGAACGAAACGGAAAAGCUUUGUUGAUAGAUGAGAACGACACUCCAUCGAAUAACGCAACAUUUACGAUUUUUAAUGAUGCCUUUCUUAUUUAUUAACUAAUUUUUGUUAAAUUUAGAUUCUUCACAAAUAUACAUCUCUGAAUAUUUUGAUCUUUAUGCGAUUUCAUCAACAUUUCGAACAAGAAUUACUACGCUAAAACAAAAAUACACGACGUAAAAGUUUAUUUUUUUAUAUUCUUAAAGUACUUUAUUAUUUGAACUUCAACUUAACAAUUAUCAUCUCCUAGGUGCAAGGUAUAAUGCAGGUUAACUCGUU